rnacentral:rRNA from 1 species
UACGGAGGGGGCUAGCGUUGUUCGGAAUUACUGGGCGUAAAGCGCACGUAGGCGGACCGGACAGUCAGAGGUGAAAUCCCAGGGCUCAACCUUGGAACUGCCUUUGAAACUAUCGGUCUGGAGUUCGAGAGAGGUGAGUGGAAUUCCGAGUGUAGAGGUGAAAUUCGUAGAUAUUCGGAGGAACACCAGUGGCGAAGGCGGCUCACUGGUCCGAUACUGACGCUGAGGUGCGAAAGCGUGGGGAGCAAACAGG